UUUUAAGCAUGAUGAAACAUUCAUUUUUAUUUUUCUGACACCUCUUCAGAUUGUACAGUGGUGACCUUUUUAUCUGAUUGAUAAUGUUAUGUUUUAAAUUGUAUUUAUAAAAAAGUGGAAAUUUAAAUAUGUACAUUUUUCUUUGCAGAUAUAUUGGUCCAUGAUAACUAGGAGCCUUAAAAUUAAUGUUCAGAUACAGAAUAUGUACAUUUUCUUUGCAGAUAUAUUGGUCCAUGAUACUAGGAGCCUUAAAAUUAAUGUUCAGAUACAUCUUAAUAAUAAGGAAAAUCCGUAAGGGACUAUGGAGGGGUAACAAAGUAAAUUGUAAGUUGUUUGUGUAAAUUAAUAUAAUUAAAUUAUUCAUACAAUGAUGAUACAUUUAAAAUUAAUUACUUUUUCUGACACCUCUUCAGAAUGCAUAGUGGUGACAUUUUAAUCUGACUUAAUAAUUUUAUUAGAGUUUAUUUUUAAUAAAUAAUAACACAUGUUAAAAUAUUUUCUUUUGUUUGCAGGUGAGAUGCUAGUUACUAUGUAAAAUUGGCGUUUUGAAGUUGAUUAUUAAUUUAAUAAUUAAAGAAAUAAUUAAAAGUGAAUUGUAUUUAAGAAAAUAAAGUUUCAAAUUUAAAUUUCAAGAAUUUGUUUCUCAUAUAUCCAUAACCUUUUAUCAUAUCCUGUUUAAAUUUGGUGUGUAUUAUCCUAAAAUACAUACUCUCGAUUAAGUUUUAUUAUACUUCAGUUUUUAAUUUUAAG